rnacentral:rRNA from 1 species
GAUGAACGCUGGCGGCGUGCUUAACACAUGCAAGUCGAACGAUGAAGCCCAGCUUGCUGGGUGGAUUAGUGGCGAACGGGUGAGUAACACGUGAGUAACCUGCCCUUGACUCUGGGAUAAGCCUGGGAAACUGGGUCUAAUACUGGAUAUGACUUCUCAUCGCAUGGUGGGGGGUGGAAAGAUUUAUUGGUCUUGGAUGGACUCGCGGCCUAUCAGCUUGUUGGUGAGGUAAUGGCUCACCAAGGCGACGACGGGUAGCCGGCCUGAGAGGGUGACCGGCCACACUGGGACUGAGACACGGCCCAGACUCCUACGGGAGGCAGCAGUGGGGAAUAUUGCACAAUGGGCGGAAGCCUGAUGCAGCGACGCCGCAUGAGGGAUGACGGCCUUCGGGUUGUAAACCUCUUUCAGUAGGGAAGAAGCGAGAGUGACGGUACCUGCAGAAGAAGCGCCGGCUAACUACGUG